rnacentral:rRNA from 1 species
UACGUAGGGGGCAAGCGUUGUUCGGAAUCACUGGGCGUAAAGCGCACGUAGGCGGAUGUGUCAGUCAGGGGUGAAAUCCCGGAGCUCAACUUCGGAACUGCCUUUGAUACAGCACGUCUUGAGUCCGGAAGAGGUGGGUGGAAUUCCUAGUGUAGAGGUGAAAUUCGUAGAUAUUAGGAAGAACACCGGUGGCGAAGGCGGCCCACUGGUCCGGUACUGACGCUGAGGUGCGAAAGCGUGGGGAGCAAACAGG